rnacentral:rRNA from 1 species
AGAUUGAACGCUGGCGGCAUGCCUAACACAUGCAAGUCGAACGGGAGUAGCAAUACUCUAGUGGCGGACGGGUGAGGAAUACGUAGGAAUUUGCCCUUAAGUGGGGGAUAACCCGGGGAAACCCGGAUUAAUACCGCAUGACCUCGAAAGAGCAAAGCGGGGGAUCGCAAGACCUCACGCUUUUGGAGAAGCCUACGUCGGAUUAGCUAGUUGGUGAGGUAAUGGCUCACCAAGGCGACGAUCCGUAACUGGUCUGAGAGGAUGAUCAGUCACACGGAACUGAGACACGGUCCGGACUCCGUACGGGAGGCAGCAGUGGGAAUAUUGGACAAGUGGGCGCAAGCCUGAUCCAGCAAUGCCGCGUGUGUAGAAGUAAGGCCGUUCGGUUGUAAGCGUAACUUUAAGGUUAGGAAGUAAAAAAC